UCGAGAAUAUUUCGCAAUGGGCGAAAGCCUGACGAAGCGACGCCGUGUGAAUGAAGAAGGCCUUCGGGUUGUAAAGUUCUGUCGCCUAAGAACAAGAGUAUGAGAGUAAUAUUUUUAUACUUUGAGGGUAUUAGGAAAGGAAGCACCGGCUAACUCCGUGCCAGCAGCUGCGGUAAUACGGAGGGUGCAAGCGUUAGUCGGAAUUAUUGGGCGUAAAGGGUGCGUAGGCGGACAUGUAAGUCAGACGUGAAAUUUCGGGGCUCAACCCCGAAGCUGCAUCUGAAACUGCGUGUCUAGCAGGAUGGCGGAGAAAACGGAAUUCCACGUGUAGCGGUGAAAUGCGUAGAUAUGUGGAAGAACACCUGUGGCGAAAGCGGUUUUCUAGCCUACCCUGGACGCUGAGGCACGAAAGCAAGGGGAGCAAACAGG
rnacentral:rRNA from 1 species